rnacentral:rRNA from 1 species
UACAGAGGUGGCAAGCGUUGUUCGGAAUUACUGGGCGUAAAGGGUGCGUAGGCGGCGCGGUAAGUCGGGUGUGAAAUCUCGGGGCUUAACUCCGAAACUGCAUUCGAUACUGCCGUGCUUGAGGACUGGAGAGGAGACUGGAAUUUACGGUGUAGCGGUGAAAUGCGUAGAUAUCGGAAGGAACAUCAGUGGCGAAAGCGGCUUCCUGGACCAGCACCGACGUUCAGGCACGAAAGCGUGGGGAGCAAACAGG